rnacentral:rRNA from 1 species
AGAGUUUGAUCCUGGCUCAGGAUGAACGCUGGCGGCGUGCUUAACACAUGCAAGUCGAACGAACCUUCGGGUUAGUGGCGGACGGGUGAGUAACGCGUGAGAAUCUGCCCUCAGGAGGGGGACAACAGCUGGAAACGGCUGCUAAUACCCCAUAUGCCGCGAGGUGAAAUGAAUUUCGCCUGAGGAUGAGCUCGCGUCUGAUUAGCUAGUUGGUGUAGGUAAUGGCUCACCAAGGCAUCGAUCAGUAGCUGGUCUGAGAGGAUGAUCAGCCACACUGGGACUGAGACACGGCCCAGACUCCUACGGGAGGCAGCAGUGGGGAAUUUUCCGCAAUGGGCGAAAGCCUGACGGAGCAACGCCGCGUGAGGGAUGAAGGCCUCUGGGCUGUAAACCUCUUUUAUCAAGGAAGAAGAUCUGACGGUACUUGAUGAAUAAGCCACGGCUAAUUCCGUGCCAGCAGCCGCGGUAAUACGGGAGUGGCAAGCGUCAUCCGGAAUUAUUGGGCGUAAAGCGUCCGCAGGCGGCCCUUCAAGUCUGCUGUUAAAAAGUGGAGCUUAACUCCAUCAUGGCAGUGGAAACUGUUGGGCUUGAGUGUGGUAGGGGCAGAGGGGAUUCCCGGUGUAGCGGUGAAAUGCGUAGAUAUCGGGAAGAACACCAGUGGCGAAGGCGCUCUGCUGGGCCAUCACUGACGCUCAUGGACGAAAGCCAGGGGAGCGAAAGGGAUUAGAUACCCCUGUAGUCCUGGCCGUAAACGAUGAACACUAGGUGUCGGGGGAAUCGACCCCCUCGGUGUCGUAGCCAACGCGUUAAGUGUUCCGCCUGGGGAGUACGCACGCAAGUGUGAAACUCAAAGGAAUUGACGGGGGCCCGCACAAGCGGUGGAGUAUGUGGUUUAAUUCGAUGCAACGCGAAGAACCUUACCAGGGUUUGACAUCCUGCGAAUCUCUUGGAAACAGGAGAGUGCCUUCGGGAACGCAGUGACAGGUGGUGCGUGGCUGUCGUCAGCUCGUGUCGUGAGAUGUUGGGUUAAGUCCCGCAACGAGCGCAACCCACGUCUUUAGUUGCCAGCAUUUAGUUGGGCACUCUAGAGAGACUGCCGGUGAUAAACCGGAGGAAGGUGUGGAUGACGUCAAGUCAUCAUGCCCCUUACAUCCUGGGCUACACACGUACUACAAUGCUACGGACAAAGGGCAGCAAACUCGCGAGAGCUAGCAAAUCCCAUAAACCGUGGCUCAGUUCAGAUCGUGGGCUGCAACUCGCCUACGUGAAGUAGGAAUCGCUAGUAAUCGCAGGUCAGCAUACUGCGGUGAAUACGUUCCCGGGCCUUGUACACACCGCCCGUCACACCAUGGAAGUUGGCCAUGCCCGAAGUCGUUACUCCAACCCUUGUGGAGGAGGACGCCGAAGGUGGGGCUAAUGACUGGGGUGAAGUCGUAACAAGGUAACC